GAUUAAUGUGAUAACUUUUAAGAAUAUCACAAUUCUUUUUUAAUUUUAGCUCAGUGAGUCGGCACAUGCAUGUUUGCACACGAACACAUGUAUUGUGCAUACAUAACUUGGUGAAUCCAUCACCCCAGCAAUUAGACUUAAAAAAGGAAGAACUCCUCAAUGCAAUGAAUGCCUACUGCUGGGCUUCCUAAAAUGACAGCACUUUCUUCUCUUUUUGCUAUUAGGGCAGGCUACCACACCUUUCCCUGUAGAACCAGAGCAACACUUCUCAA
rnacentral:misc_RNA from 1 species